rnacentral:tRNA from 1 species
AGCCCAUUAGCUUAAAAUGGUAGAGCAAUGUGUUACCGCACAAAGAUGUAGGUUCAAGUCCUACAUAGGCUU